rnacentral:misc_RNA from 1 species
GUAUAUAUAACUUUUAUAGGUACAAAAGGACCUUAUUCAACAUUCUAAACAGAUUCAAAGGUUUGUAAAAAGUGACAUAGACCCAGAAAAUGAAAGGCAAAGCUGACACUUUUUUCAAAGAGCACAGCAGUCCCAACUCGAUAAAAAACAAUCAAUUAACUUUCUGAGUCUACAAUAUGUGCACAGUUGGAGAAAUAAAGAUGACAAGCGUGCACAUACACCCCUUGAAGUGGGAGACAGCAACAGCCUGUUCAAGUUUAUUCAAUAAUGAUCCUUCCGCAGGUUCACCUACGGAAA